ACUAGCUUUCUAAAGAUUAAAAUGUUUUGAAGUUAGUGAGGCGGUUGUACCGAACACCUUAUCUUAUCAAGAGGCAUGGGAAAUGUCAUAUUUAGGGGCAAAUGUUUUAUACCCUCGAACUAUCAUUCCAGUGAUGCAGUAUGACAUUCCGAUCGUUAUAAGAAACAUCUUCAACCUCUCUGCACCUGGAACAAAAAAUUGCAGGGCACCCAUCAUUGAAGCUGAAGUAAAACAGGACUCGGUAGCUUAUGUAAAAGGCUUUGCAACCAUAGACAACUUGGCCCUUGUAAAUGUCGAGGGAACUAGAAUGGCUGGUGUUCCGGGUACAGCAAGUGCCAUUUUUGCGGCUGUUAAAGAUGUUGGAGCUAAUGUCAUCAUGAUUUCUCAGGUAUGUUUCUCUAGUGUC